AUGACUACGAAGAAAUAUUUCUUCUCCUAUGGAUCAUUCUCGAUUAAGGACGACUCGAAAAUUAGAUUCUGGGAGGACAAGUGGCUAGGAAAUGCCAUACUCCGGGAACAAUAUCCUGCUUUAUACAACAUUGUUCGUCACAAGUGUGAUACUAUCGCCACGGUAAUGGAACCAUUUCCGCCAAAUGUGACGUUCAGAAGAGAUUUAAUUGGACCCAGACUCCAAUCAUGGUACAUCCUGCUCCAACUGUUGUCCACAGUGCAUUUGUCAUAUGGGUCUGAUGUAUUUCGAUGGAAUCUACAUGGGAAUGAGCAAUUCUCAGUGGAAUCUAUGUAUAGAGCAUUAAUCCAGUCUAAUGUGCCAAAUGAUAAUAAUAAGAAGAUCUAA
rnacentral:rRNA from 1 species